UGAUUGUGUGUACAUGAUUGGGGUCAUGUUACAUAAGAUGGUAGCACCCAUCUUUCUCCCCCUCCCCCAGUUUAGCUUUGAGGGCGCAGAUGGCCAUGUUAGAGGACUCUGCAUGGCAAGAAAUACAGGCAGCCUCUCAGAGCUGAGGGCAGCCUCCAGCCAACAGCCAACAAAAAACUUGAAGCUCUCAGUCCUACGACCUCAAGGAACUGAAUUCUGCCAUUAACAUGAGUGAACUUGGAAGUGAGUCCUUCCCCAUCUGAACCCAGGCUCUGAGAAGCUGACUUUUAUUGAUCGCAUAAACGGGGAUGCUUUGAGCUCUAACUUCUGGUUGGCUGAAGCAAUGACAGCCGACAGCAGGACAUCAAAAAGGGGAUGAAGAAUGGAGCUUGAAGGGUAUUCCUGUAGCCCCUUCCUGGCUGGAUCACAACAGGCUGGCUAGGUUGCCUUAUCAAACUGAAACCGCCUUUGCAAAAUUAUCACUGAGACGGUGAAAGAGUUUUAACUUAACCGACUCCAUCUUGCUUCUAACCUCCUUGUUCGUUCAGCAUAGGCUGAACUAACUUUGAGAGAAACUUAUAGUUUAAAACAAAGAUGAUAACAGCCCUUUCCCAAAGCACACCUCCUUCUUGCCUGGGGACUAGAUUCCCUUUGUAGGACUAACAUUAGCUACAAGAUUAGAAAUUAUGGUUUAAGAGUCAUGCAACUAGAGGCUUCAAGAUUUUCUUCAAAUAUCUCAGUGCUUGAGAUAUUUUCCAGACCCUGCAAUUGCCGGAUCAGCUGGCACCACCCAGAUGGAUAAACUGGCUAAUCUGAUCUUGUGGCUCCCACCCAGGAAGUGACUCAGCACAAGAAGACAGCUUCAACUCCCUAUGAUUUCAUUUCCGUCCUGACCAAUCAGCACUCCCGGGUCACUGGCUUCCCCCAACCCACCAAUUUAUCCUUAAAGAUUCUGCUCCUGGCUGGGCGUGGUGACUCGCACCUGUAAUCCCAGCACUUUUGGAGGUUGAGGUGGGUGGAUCACCCGAGGUCAGGAGUUCGAGACCAGCCUGACCAACAUAGUGAAACCCCGUCUCUAUUAAAAAUACAAAAUUAGCCGGGCGUGGUGGCACAUGCCUGUAAUCUCAGCUACUUGGUAGGCUGAGGCAGGAGAAUCACUUGAACCCAGGAGGCAGAGGUUGCAGUGAGCCAAGACAGCGCCACUGCACUCCAGCCUGGGUGACAGAGCAAGACUCUGAAAAAAAAACACAAACAAAAAAAAACUCUGCUCCCCAAAUGCUUGGGGAGACUGAUUUGAGUAAUAAUAAAACUGUCUCCCGCACAGCUGGCUCUGUGUGAAUUACUCUUUCUCUAUUGUA
rnacentral:lncRNA from 1 species